AGUCAGGUCAGCAUGGGCUGUCAGCAUAUGGCCUUGGCUAGCCUUGUCUAGGCCGGGUUCUCUUUUCAACUUGUCUAGGAGGAGAGGAUGGAGAUGGAUGUGUGAGUGAAAGGAAAUGCUCGUGAAGCAAGGCGAGGCUGCUCCAUCAUCACCACGGCUCCUGUGUGCACGGGAAAGCUCAGCCCUCUCACCACCAACAGCUGGAGGAGAUAAUUCAUGUUCCAGGAGUGGUGGGCAGCCCGUGGACCCACGGGCAGAUGAUGGAUUUGCACCUCCAAAGCAGGUCACAUUUAGGAAAAAGAUUCUUAAAUAUUUCUUUGGAAGUAAACUGGUGCCAUUUCCAAAUUGAUUCAUCAAACAUUCUCAUGCCUGAAUUUGUGCACAAAUAUCAUGUGAAUGUUUUACUUUUAUCAACUCUGUCUUCUGGGAGGGAGUCGUGGUAUGAACAUAAGUUGCUAAGCUGAAGACAGGCGUUUUAAAGAUAAAUGGUAAACCUGAACUGGAAAUCCAUCUGGCCGGCUGCCUGCUCUAAUGAAUAACCCCACUUUGGCGCGUGCAAUGUAAGCAGAAAGUUCUCUCCCGGCCUCUUUCGUCUGUCAUGAAUCUACGAGACAGCCGACAUAAUAUCUGGGCGACAACGGUGCGCUAACAGCGCAUUUACAGCUGACUUUACUCUUCUGUGCCUCUGUGUCCUCGUUUCUAAAAUGGAGCUCAUCUCAAAGUUUUUGCUUAAAAGAAGUCCUGAUGCAAGCGGUGUCCUCUGGGUGAUGAUUAUACGUCAAUCAUGUUGUUAAAUGAAGAAUGCCCUUUGUCUUGCAUUGGAUAAGAUUGGAUAAUUAAGAAAACUCCCUCACCCCUCAAGCAUUGUUCAGUGUGUAUGGAGUGUAUGCAAGUAUAUGGAAGAAUCCAAUAGUUGGCAAAGAAAAACAGGAGAUAUUUAAACUGAAGACUGGGGCAAAGGAACCAAAAGGAGAGAAAAGAAAAUAUUUCUAAAACUUAAACUUAACCAGUUGCACUUCAUGUUUGAAUGACUACUUAUCUAGGACAUUCUUUCAGAGUUAAAGGUGUAAUGUUACUUGGACCUCCAUCUAUUGGCCGGCAGUAUGGCUUGGAAACCUUCAACACACAGUUAAGUGUCUGGCUUCUUUAUUUUA